GAGCCCUGCUCUGAAGGAAGUGAAGUUCAUCAGCAGCAGCAGCUGAACGGAGUCUGCAAGGUGUAGUGAAUAAGAGACCUUCAAGAGAGGAACAUCCCUGGUCCUCCACAAUAUCAGGAGUAAAUGAGAUGAGGACAUGAAAAAACACACGCAGAAAGAUGCUGGAGCAGAAACCACAGAGGAGCAAAGAACAAGAGGAAAGAGAGAAACAGAGGACAGAAAUGAAACACAAACCAGUGGAGAGAAAAACAGACAGAAGCUUGUUAGAUGUGACAGUAUGGAGGGAAGAAGGCCAAACUUGUCAGAUGAUCCAGAGGAGCCUGUAAAAAUUUAUUCUGAUCUUUUCAAGAACACAUAACACAUCAGAGCAGACCAGGAACAGAACAACAUCAUCACUGACUCAAUCUGAAACAGACAAGUGAACGGAUCUUUCCCUGAUGACGGAUUACUUUGUGUUUUACUGUGCUGCGGUGGAUGCUGUGCUGAUAUUUUCAUAUUAUGAUUGUUUUCUGGAUAACACAGAAACCUUUGUGUUUUACAAAACUGUGUUUAAUAUUGCACUGCCUUUAAUGUAUAAUGUAUAUAUUUGUAUUACUGUAUAUUUUGGUAUAUUUCUGUAUAACACACUGUACAUCACAUAUGCUGAAAUACUGGAUCACAGAUAUUAUGACACCCGCAGGUAAAUAAAGAAAGAAAAGUGUAGUAAAACACACUAUUUCAGAAAUGUUUCAGUAAUGAUUCCAGGCUUGCCGUGUCAAAGGGUCUUAAAGUUAAAAGUGUGGUAUUACUUGUCAGUGUUCCACUCUUCAUCUAUUGCUCUUUCAUUCAUGUUAUUUUCCACUACACCGUUCCAAUGAUUCCUGCUCACUAAAAUCUGCACAGAUAUAUUCACUUAUCACCUAACAUGCAGUAAUGCUUU